rnacentral:rRNA from 1 species
GGGACAUGGCGGCACGAUACCAUGCAAGUCGAGCGGAACGACACUAACAAUCCUUCGGGUGCGUUAAUGGGCGUCGAGCGGCGGACGGGUGAGUAAUGCCUAGGAAAUUGCCUUGAUGUGGGGGAUAACCAUUGGAAACGAUGGCUAAUACCGCAUAAUGCCUACGGGCCAAAGAGGGGGAUCUUCGGACCUCUCGCGUCAAGAUAUGCCUAGGUGGGAUUAGCUAGUUGGUGAGGUAAUGGCUCACCAAGGCGACGAUCCCUAGCUGGUCUGAGAGGAUGAUCAGCCACACUGGAACUGAGACACGGUCCAGACUCCUACGGGAGGCAGCAGUGGGGAAUAUUGCACAAUGGGCGAAAGCCUGAUGCAGCCAUGCCGCGUGUAUGAAGAAGGCCUUCGGGUUGUAAAGUACUUUCAGUUGUGAGGAAGGGGGUAACGUUAAUAGCGUUAUCUCUUGACGUUAGCAACAGAAGAAGCACCGGCUAACUCCGUGCCAGCAGCCGCGGUAAUACGGAGGGUGCGAGCGUUAAUCGGAAUUACUGGGCGUAAAGCGCAUGCAGGUGGUUCAUUAAGUCAGAUGUGAAAGCCCGGGGCUCAACCUCGGAACUGCAUUUGAAACUGGUGAACUAGAGUGCUGUAGAGGGGGGUAGAAUUUCAGGUGUAGCGGUGAAAUGCGUAGAGAUCUGAAGGAAUACCAGUGGCGAAGGCGGCCCCCUGGACAGACACUGACACUCAGAUGCGAAAGCGUGGGGAGCAAACAGGAUUAGAUACCCUGGUAGUCCACGCCGUAAACGAUGUCUACUUGGAGGUUGUGGCCUUGAGCCGUGGCUUUCGGAGCUAACGCGUUAAGUAGACCGCCUGGGGAGUACGGUCGCAAGAUUAAAACUCAAAUGAAUUGACGGGGGGCCCGCACAAGCGGUGGAGCAUGUGGUUUAAUUCGAUGCAACGCGAAGAACCUUACCUACUCUUGACAUCCAGAGAAGCCAGCGGAGACGCAGGUGUGCCUUCGGGAACUCUGAAACAGGUGCUGCAUGGCUGUCGUCAGCUCGGGUUGUGAAAUGUUGGGUUAAGUCCCGCAACGAGCGCAACCCUUAUCCUUUGUUUGCCAGCGAGUAAUGGCCGGGAACUCCAGGGAAGACUGCCGGGUGAUAAACCGGAAGGA